CAUGCAAGUCGAACGAGAAAGUUCCUUCGGGGAUGAGUAGAGUGGCGCACGGGUGAGUAACGCGUGGAUAAUCUACCGGGGAGUGGGGAAUAACAGUUGGAAACGGCUGCUAAUACCGCAUACGCUGCAUAUAUGUCUAUGCAGGAAAGGGGGCCUCUGCAUAUGCUUCCGCUUUUCGAUGAGUCCGCGUCCCAUUAGCUUGUUGGCGGGGUAACGGCCCACCAAGGCGACGAUGGGUAGCUGGUCUGAGAGGAUGACCAGCCACACUGGGACUGGAACACGGCCCAGACUCCUACGGGAGGCAGCAGUGGGGAAUAUUGCGCAAUGGGCGAAAGCCUGACGCAGCGACGCCGCGUGAGGGAUGAAGGUUUUCGGAUCGUAAACCUCUGUCAGAAGGGAAGAAGUUGCAUGGGGCCAAUCACCUGUGCAUUGACGGUACCUUCAAAGGAAGCACCGGCUAACUCCGUGCCAGCAGCCGCGGUAAUACGGAGGGUGCGAGCGUUAAUCGGAAUUACUGGGCGUAAAGCGCACGUAGGCUGUAUGUCAAGUCAAGGGUGAAAUCCCACGGCUCAACCGUGGAACUGCCUUUGAAACUGGCAAACUGGAGUAUGUGAGAGGGCGGCGGAAUUCCUGGUGUAGGAGUGAAAUCCGUAGAUAUCAGGAGGAACAUCAGUGGCGAAGGCGGCCGCCUGGCACAAAACUGACGCUGAGGUGCGAAA
rnacentral:rRNA from 1 species